GGCCGGGGGCCACCCGUGNGGCNAUANGGCGAACGGGNNAGUAAUACAUGCGGAACGUGUCCUGUNNUGUGGGGGAUAGCCCGGCGAAAGCCGGAUUAAUACCGCAUACGCUCUGCGGAGGAAAGCGGGGGAUCUUCGGACCUCGCGCUACAGGGGCGGCCGAUGGCAGAUUAGCUGGUUGGUGGGGUAAAGGCCUACCAAGGCGACGAUCUGUAGCUGGUCUGAGAGGACGACCAGCCACACUGGGACUGAGACACGGCCCAGACUCCUACGGGAGGCAGCAGUGGGGAAUUUUGGACAAUGGGCGCAAGCCUGAUCCAGUCUUNNUGCCGCGUGUGUGAAGAAGGCCUUCGGGUUGUAAAGCACUUUUGUCCGGAAAGAAAACCUCUGCCCUAAUACGGUGGGGGGAUGACGGUACCGGAAGAAUAAGCACCGGCUAACUACGUGCCAGCAGCCGCGGUAAUACGUAGGGUGCAAGCGUUAAUCGGAAUUACUGGGCGUAAAGCGUGCGCAGGCGGUUCGCUAAGACAGAUGUGAAAUCCCCGGGCUUAACCUGGGAACUGCAUUGUGACUGGCGGGCUAGAGUAUGGCAGAGGGGGGUAGAAUCCACGUGUAGCAGUGAAAUGCGUAUAGAUGUGGAGGAAUACCGAUGGCGAAGGCAGCCCCCUGGGCCAAUACUGACGCUCAUGCCCGAAAGCGUGGGAGCAACAGGAUAAAUACCUGGUAGUCCCGCCUAACCAUGUNACACAGUCGGUNUCAUGACUGUACNNNCNACCGUAUUGACGCUGGANUCGUCCAAUAACCAGGAAUACGNACCCACCGGGAUAUGAUNUCAUCACCAUCCUCGCUUGCAUUGNGCUAGGUAUNCAAGACGUCGGUCCGUGUCCGGUGAUUGUUCCCANCGCCCUGCAACUGAUGCGCAACCCUUUNNCCCNNUGUUGUUACUGCAAUGAGCACUGCCAUGGGAGACUUGCCUGGUNGACAAAACCUGGAUGGAAUGNNUGGGNGUNGACUNNGCAANUNCCUGCAUUGGCCCUUGAUUGGNGAUGGGUUGCACACNUGCAUACAAUUGNNUGGACAUAGGUGCGCAACCCGCGUGGGGNNCCAUCCCAGAAACCGUGCUAUGCCGGUGCGANGUUGCAANUGNGGGUGNNGGGAUGUUGGNAUGCNGUNNGAAUGCNGCNGGAUGCAUGCANUGCCNGCNGGG
rnacentral:rRNA from 1 species